CAAAAGGCUCCUGUAAGGUCUAGCACGCUGUUAACUGUGUAGGACAUAUAAAAUUCUUCAUUAAAAAGACUACAAUAAAGAAAGUAUAAACAUUAGAUUUCACUUUACAGGGCGUGUUUAGGAAGUCUAUGCACAUUACAUUCACAGUGAUUAGGGCUUCAUACACAGGGAAAACCUUUUAAAAAAAGAUUUGGUGGGGCUUCUCAAGUCUGUCACGAUAAAUAGCCUUUUAUCAUGGUCCCUACUGUCCAUCUAUACCUGUAAAGGCUGGAAACAACUGCGGGAGACCGAAAGCAACACACAGAUGCCUUUCUUUUUGCCACCAGGCGCAAAAAAUAGGGAAGCAUGGGGUAAGGCUGAGGGCAUUAAAGCACGCUGUUGCGCCUGGUGGGACCCCGACUGGCUAAUACCAAAACCCACACAAGAACAGUAAAAGUAGCCAGAAGCCAAGGGACACAGAACUUACAGGUGCCCGCUGCAAAAGAAUCCCACGACAUAGGCACAUUGCUCCAUUGUACACCCCAUCAGGAUCAAGAGGGAGACUGUGACCCUGAGACAGACCUCCACACAUCAGCGACUCAUAUCACAGCUCACCCUGCAGGUUUGAUACCUUCUACUAAGCAGGACAUUGACAAUCUAUUUGCACCUUAUGCUUGCGAGAUCCAUCACUCGGGGUCUUCAAGAAGCGGGAAUACGGUACUGAUGGACUGCAACUAAAUUUCUCACGGCAACUCAAGAUGGCAAACUGCUCAAUGCCACCUCUUUUCUGUCCACACUUGAAUUGGGUGAUAGACCACAAGCUCAUGAGAAACAAGCCUCCUCCAGCCCUUGGAAUGUGGAUGCUGUAAAACUCCUUCACCCCAAGACGCUGACAAGUCUCCGUGACUUGAUGGACUAAGCAAAGACCCCUCACUAUAUUCAGUUCUAUUGCUUCUUUUAUGUUUUAUAUUUUCAUUGUUGGCAAUGUUUGCUACAUAUGCUUAUGAUUCCAAAUGUAUGAUUCCAGAUUCCAGUCUGAGCUCGACUUAGCUCAUUCUUUGGAUUUCCAAAGGUAAACCCAAUACCUUCCCCAUUGCAACCCCCAUAGGUUAGGAAAUCAGCUACGUCUUGCAGUCGUGUAAAAAAAAAAAAAAAAAAAAAAGCUAUGUAUUUUUGUUAAGCAGUAUUUUUUUUAAUUAAACAUCUCAAGAUGCCAUAUAAAGGGUCACGAAGAUAUUUGCAACGAUAAGUCAAGCGUACAGUGAAGGUUGACAUUAUUGGGGUGAUAAUAUUGCAGUCGUCAGAGAUUUUUAUGGUCCAUCAUUCAUAACAAUUUUGUCAGGUGAUGAAUACUCAUUCAGUAGGAAAGUAUGGAGAUAAAAGCACAGAAAUGAGUAUAGUUCUGCGUAGUCACACAUUAAAAAUUAUGGGUGUUACAAUUAAGUUGGUGUGAGUGGUCCUAUCGAGUAGGGCUACCUGACCUGUAGUCAUCAGCCUAUAAAAUCUUUUUUUUAUAGUUUAUUUUCUUAAUCUAUACUCUAUUAACGUGUAUUUGCUAGCUAAAGCGUGUCACCAUUGCAAGUAGACUAUGCAGGGC
rnacentral:lncRNA from 1 species